UACAGAGGGUGCGAGCGUUAAUCGGAAUUACUGGGCGUAAAGCGCACGUAGGUGGCGACGUAAGUCGGGUGUGAAAUCCCCGGGCUUAACCUGGGAACUGCGCUUGUGACUGCAAGACUCGAGUACGGCAGAGGGGGGUAGAGUUCCACGUGUAGCAGUGAAAUGCGUAGAGAUGUGGAGGAAUACCGAUGGCGAAGGCAGCCCCCUGGGUCGAUACUGACGCUCAUGCACGAAAGCGUGGGGAGCAAACAGG
rnacentral:rRNA from 1 species